CAAAGACUUAUAAUAAAAAUUUAGAUAAAAACACAUGCAAAUAUAAUGGACACAAAUUAUUUUAUUCUUUUUAUGAAAUAUGUAAACUUUUUGGAAUUGAUCAAAAAUGGUAUAAAAGUAUAACAUUUGAAAAUGUAAUAUAUAUACAUGUUUUAAUUUGAAUAUAAGGAAACAAAAUAGUUUAUUAUAAAUAUUUAUUAAAAUAUUGUAAAACACGUUUUUUUUUUUUUUUUAUACAGUGUAAAAUAUAAAUAUAUAGUUAGGGUACCUUCUUUGUGUCUGUAUGUCGUUAAUGGUUUUUCAUUUUCAUUUGUAAAAGCUCAACAAAUAUCAUUUAAAAAAUGUACAAGAGAUUAUAAAUUGUUGCAUUAUAUAUAAUGGCAAUGUUUGAUUAUGUUAAACAUUUGUAUUGGAUUAUAAAGAAAAGUUAAUAUGCGCAUAAAUUUGUAUGUAUUAACAUAUUACUAAAAAUUAAUAUUAUAUAUUUUUAUUUUUUGAAAAUAUUAAUUGUUAUAUGUAAAACAAAAUACGUAAUACGAUUAUAUACAUGUUCGUAUAUAUACGCUCACAUAUAUAUAUAUAUAUAUAUAUAUAUAUAUAUACAUAUACAUAUACAUAUGUUUUAAAAUUCAUUAAAUAUUGAAGAUUUAACAGUUUUAUAUUAUUGUAUUUAUGUAUUUUUUUACAUAAUAUUAACAUAUAUACAACAUAUAAUUAUAAUUGCAAAUAGAAUCAUUCAUAAUACAUAUAAUAAAAGUAAUCAUGCAUUAUAAUUAUUGCUUCACAAUUUAAGUUCAUAAUAUUGCAUUUGUCGUAUAGCUUUUCGUUAAAUUUGAAAAUAUAACUAAUCAUAAUGGCAGAAGGUGACCCAUUUGAUAACGAGUAUGAGAAUCAAAACUUAAGUACUCUACUUACAAAUACAUAUAAUAUGGAAAAUGGAAAUGAAACUGGAAUAUUAUUACAUAGAGUCUUGUGAAACGUUACUAUAUAGCCUAUUAAUUAUGGACAGUUGUUACCUCAUCAUGUGACUGUUUUUAUUCUGUUAACAUAUUUUAUAGUGUUAAUUAUAAUAAUAUUUAUAUGUAUAUGUCUAUACAGAAUGAUAAACAAUGUAAGAUUAGUAUAAAUAUAUAUAAAUACAUUUG
rnacentral:lncRNA from 1 species